rnacentral:rRNA from 1 species
UACGUAGGGUGCAAGCGUUGUCCGGAAUUAUUGGGCGUAAAGAGCUCGUAGGCGGUCUGUCACGUCGGCUGUGAAAACCCGAGGCUCAACCUCGGGCCUGCAGUCGAUACGGGCAAACUAGAGUACUGCAGGGGAGACUGGAAUUCCUGGUGUAGCGGUGAAAUGCGCAGAUAUCAGGAGGAACACCAAUAGCGAAGGCAGCUCGCUGGGACGGUACUGACGCUAAGGCGCGAAAGCGUGGGAGCAAACAGG